AUACAGAUGGGGUCUGAACACUGUCGCAAGGGUGGCCUUUUCUUGUGCACGUGUGCGGGAGAAGGCAAAUUGAGAACUGGAGGGCAAGGCUGAUGCCAGCAGCCGCGGUAAUUCCAGCUCCAAUAGCGUAUAUUAAAGUUGUUGCAGUUAAAAAGCUCGUAGUUGGAUUUCUGUUUUGGAUGUCCGGUCCGCUUCCUUUAGAAGUGUGUACUUAUGGAUGUUCGAAGCAUUUUUUGUGAGGCUGCCUUUCUGCCAUUAUGUUGGUGGGCUGGUGGGCUUGCAUCCUUUACUGCGAAAAAAAUAUAGUGUUUGAAGCGGGCUUAGUUCAUUUGAAUACAUGGAAUAACAAGAUAUGACUUUGGUUUGCACAUCAGAGUAAUGAUUGAUAGGGGCAGUUGGGGUUACUUAUAUUUCAGCGUCAGAGGUGAAAUUCUUGGAUCGCUGAAAGAUGAGCUUUGGCGAAAGCAUUUACCAAGGAUGCUUUCAUUAAUCCAGAACUAAAGUUAGGGGAUCGAAGAUGAUUAGAUACCAUCGUAGUCAUAAUCAUAAACUAUGUCGACUCGAGAUUGGCAGUCGUUUACUUUAAAUGACCUUGUCAGCACUGUAUGAGAAUUCAAAGUCUUUGGGUUCCGGGGGGAGUAUGAUCGCAAGGCUGAAACUUAAAGGAACUGACGGAAGCACACCACCAGAAGUGGAGCCUGCGACUUAAUUUGAAUCAACACGGAGAGCUUACCAGGUCCAGACAGUAAGAAAUUGACAGGUUUAGAGCUCUUUCUUGAUUCUAUUGGUGGUGGUGCAUGACCGUUCUUAGUUGGUGGUGGUGCAUGACCGUUCUUAGUUGGUGGAGUGAUUUGUCUGCUUAAUUCCGUUAGCAAAGAGAACUUCGCGUGCUAAAUAGUUUUGCUUACCAUUUUUGGUAGAUUGAGGACUUCUAAGAGGGACUUUUGAGUAAUCAAACCAAAGAAAGCUGUAGGCAAUGAUAGGUGUGGAUAUCCUUAGAUGUACUGGGCCGCACGCGCGCUACACUGAUGCGUUCAACGAGUAUACCACCUUGAUCGAUAGGUCUGGGUAAUCUUGUGAACGCGUAUCGCGCUAGGGAUAGACUGUUGCAGUCUUGAACGAGGAAUUCCUAAGAAUUGCAAGUCAUCAGCUUGCGUUGUUUGUUCGCACCGCCCGUUGCACCUACCGAUUGAAUGACUCGGUGAAAAAUUGGGACCGUGAGUUCGCUUGCUUUAUUGUGAAUGACUGGUGGGAACUUUUUAAACCUCGUNNNNNNNNNNGCUGGACGAGAUGUCCCUUGAAGAGUUUGG
rfam:Plasmopara halstedii genome assembly, contig: Scaffold_323